CCUGCCACUGCGAGGCCACCACCCACCACCGCCAUUGUGGCUCCUCAUGAUCUUCACUCUUCAGGCUGUGUUUUACCAAGGUCUCAGAAGAUUUGGACACAGCUACAAGAGACUGCCUAGAGUGUGGCAUGAAAACCACCGAGAAACACAGUGGACAAAACUGUGGGUAUCCUGAGAGUCAAAUGGCUUAUUGUCUGAAUCAAGAUUCAUCUAUCCUGCUGUGAAGCCAUUCCUUCCCUGGCAUCAGAGCCUACUUCUUCAAUAUUCUGGCACAUACUGAAGAGCAGAUAAGAUGGACAGUCAACUACUGGAUUCUUAACCUUUCUGUCAGGAGAUAGCCAUUGUUGGACUAGCCAGACCGCAACCUGUAAGCUACUCUCAUAAAUCAUUUUUUAUUUAUAAUAUAGCUCCAUUCUGUUGGUUCUGUUCCUAUAGAAAGCCCUGACCAAUAUAGCAGAGUGAUUUUUUGUGUGUGUGACAGAUAGGGUCUCUUGUAGCUCAGCUAACCUCCAACUCACUGCGUAGUCCAUGUUGGCCUAGAACUUUUCCACCCUUCUCCUGCUUCAGCCUGCUGUUAUCCUCAUUGCCAAAACAGGGUCCCCAGACAUAGUUGGUUGCCCACCCUCUGGCAGUUGAGCUGAUACCCAAUGUGACACCCCACCCCUGUGAGUAAAUCUGAUGGCCUGGGGCCUCCAGAAAAUUAAUUCCCUCUUACUGGACCCCAUCUCCAAAGGAUUUUGUUUUGUUU